GGAUACAGAUUGGUAUAGUGACAGCUGUGUCUCUUGUGCUGUGUUGCCUACUUACUGAAUACAGGCACUAUUUCCGCUUCGGUUUGUCGUUUUGUGUCGACCAUUUUCCUGCUCAAAGGAUGCUGUGGCUCCAACAGCGGCUUUAGUUGCAGCUCAGACGUCACACCGUUAACAGGAAAGACAGACAGACGGACAAACAGACAGAGAGUCAGUUCGCAUUUUCGUUGCUGCGAAAAUUGCCAAUAAAAGUAACAAAAAUAACAAAAAUAACACAUAUAAAGAUUGUAAGCUGCAGCUGAAACUAUAACUUUGAAUACUUAAUAUUAAAGCACAAACACAAAUAAAUAAAGUGCAAUGUCUACACAAGUGUCUAGCAAUUUAUUGGCCGGUAAGCAAAAAAAAAAUAACAAAAACCAAUACUCGUAACAACAUGCCAAAUAUGAUAACU